UACGAAGGGGGCUAGCGUUGCUCGGAAUCACUGGGCGUAGAGCGCACGUAGGCGGCUUUUUAAGUCAGGGGUGAAAUCCUGGAGCUCAACUCCAGAACUGCCUUUGAUACUGAGAAGCUUGAGUCCGGGAGAGGUGAGUGGAACUGCGAGUGUAGAGGUGAAAUUCGUAGAUAUUCGCAAGAACACCAGUGGCGAAGGCGGCUCACUGGCCCGGUACUGACGCUGAGGUGCGAAAGCGUGGGGAGCAAACAGG
rnacentral:rRNA from 1 species